UACGUAGGGUGCGAGCGUUGUCCGGAAUUAUUGGGCGUAAAGAGCUCGUAGGCGGUUUGUUGCGUCUGUCGUGAAAACCUGCAGCUUAACUGUGGGCUUGCGGUGGAUACGGGCAGACUUGAGUUCGGUAGGGGAGACUGGAAUUCCUGGUGUAGCGGUGAAAUGCGCAGAUAUCAGGAGGAACACCGGUGGCGAAGGCGGGUCUCUGGGCCGAUACUGACGCUGAGGAGCGAAAGCGUGGGGAGCGAACAGG
rnacentral:rRNA from 1 species